CUAGAGGCAGCUCUCUCUCUUGCGAAAACCAGAGAACUCUCUCUCUCUUGCGAGCCGAGAUGGACAAGGUUCUCCUUCUCUGAUUCUACAAAUGAACAGUCUUUCUCUUGCUAUGGCGACGGUUGUUGCGGAAGCUGAACCAGACUGGCAAAAGAAGUUGAGGAAGCCACACAAGCUGAAGAAUGAGAAUGAUAUCCUUUUGCUCAAGUCUCCUUGCUUGUGAAAAUAAUCUUGCUUUGCUUCUUUGGGGUUGCAAGAGAGAGACGGUCAUGAGAGAGAGAGAGAGAGAGAGAGGUGGUUCACGUUAACAGAGAAGAAAAGAAGGAAAGAAUUGGACGUGAUUUUAGUUUUUUUUAGGGUAAAUAAUUUAUAAACAGAAGGUGGGUUGUCAGAUGGAAAAGAUUGAAUUUAUUUUUUUUAUCAGUAAUAUUUUUAUAUAUUAAGUAUGAUGAGAUAUAGAAGUUAAAAAUAAAAAAUAUUGAGAUAUUUUUUUUAAAAAAACUAGUGCAUCGCUACUAAUGGAGCAUAUUAUAUAUUUAGUCUCUCAAAUAAAGGAUAUUUGGUACCCUUGCCUGCUAGACAUUAUGAAAUUAUUCGACAACUAAGUUGAGCUAGUUUGCCAAAGAAGGUGUAAUCAUUUGGAAUAUCUUUCAUGGGGCUUUGCUUUGGGAGGUUUGAUUGGAAAAAAAUAGGCGUAUUUUUUAUAGAAAUGGUUAUGAUAUGACAAAAAAUAAUGAUAUGAUAAUGUGUGAUUUUGGUAUCCAAACACGAAAGAAAGAAAUGGUGUGUAGAAAUUGGAUGUCAUGUUAAAUCUAAAGAAUUUGGUAACGCAUGCAAUAUUGAAAAUCAGCUGUGAGGGAGAUGGCCUCCGCCUAUACAUUGAAGUGUUAAGCUAAAUUUUGAUGGGAAUUAUUUAUGGAACCUAGGGCCAACAUGUAUUAGAAGGAUAAGGUUUGAAAAUUUUGAAAGGAAAAUAUGUUAAUUUAUGUUGGGGGGUGGAAGGGGAUUAUUUAAAUGUUAUCAACUAAUGCAAUUUUAUUGGGAGAUUAUUGUGGAAUUUGUAAGAAGUUUGGAUAAAAAUUUGUUAUCUAUGUUGGCACAAUACUAUUUCAUUCCAA